CUGUAUAACUCAACAUAGUUUUUCAGACCCCAGGAAGAAAGUGGUGUGUAUCCAGCAGAGCAAGGCUAGAAGGGUCUUAGCGGGCUCCUGUCUCCUUCCACUUGUCGCUGGUGCCCAGAUGCGGCUCGGAUCAUGCAUGGAACCAGCUGCACCUGCCUCCUCUGCACCAGCAGCUCCAGCUCUCCCAGCAGGCCACCCCAGGUGCAGAGGCCCCUUGGUUUCAAAGGACAGCUAAGCAAAAAGCAUCCAAUCGAAUUGAGUCAGUGGCAGCUGGGAAAGCAGCCAUGACAGCUAAUUAUUUCCAGACAUUCCCACUGACAUUCCCACUGCUGCCGCUCCCCACCCAGAGGGAUCCUUCUUGUGGCCCAUGCUCUCCCACAGCUGGUUACGGGCAAAGAGCCGGGGAAUUAUGUGUGUUGGGCAAGGAGAACUCUGAUUAACCACCGCGACUCGUCCAACGAACAGUCCAAAGCUUAAUUAUUGACUACAAGACAUCUACUAAGCACAAAGCAAUUCAUCAACUACGGUUGCCAGAAUACAAACUGUCAACUUUACUGGGACUACCAAAAUAUAAGCAGACAGUUACCAAAGGCUGAGCACGUUAACGUGACUUCACCGCUUCACAGUCUGUCUAGAGCUGUUACGCAGGAGUUACUUCCCUCAGCUGGCCGUUCUGGGAAAGCUUCCUGGGUUGCGCUGCCCCCAUCCCAAGACUUGAUCUUCCCUUAGAAAUUCAUGCAGGCAGUUCACACAGCAAACAAUGAACAGUGCUGCAACAAAGGAAAAAAACCAGGAUGGGAGUGUAGGUUAAAAGGGCCAAAAUAAGAGUGCCGAAUGGGGACUCAGAAGCAUUGGGUGUGGACUGCCCCUAAGACUACGUUUUUUGACUGAGGUGUGCCAGUGCUCCUGCUGGGAUUAAAGCCUGUGGGUUCCUGGGUAGAGGGUUUGCCCCUCCAUUCAGGGUCAGACUGAUCACACAUUUGGGCUCAGGAAGAGCUUUUACUCCAUGCUCAGACUGGUAUGGACAAUGAGGGCUUUCCUCAGGAGGGGUGGGCAUAGCUCUCUUCUUUGGAUCUCUUGAGUGUCUUUGAACCACCCUUACAUCAGCUGGAUAUUGUCACUACCCUCAUCCCCCUGCUUUCCCUGUGGCAGGUGAGGGCAUUUUUGGUGUUUGGAUGCAAUAUGCCUUGUAGUCUGGUAACAGGGCUGUAGGGUAGUUUUAGGACUAGAUUAGACAAGCACUUCUGUGGGAUGCUUUGGACAGGGAUAACGCAACUAAGCUUGAUUGUUCUUUGUCCCAACCUAAGUACUUGAUGCUUCAGUGGUGGUUCACAUCCUUUCAAUCUACAGCGGCUAUGCAGCAACAUUACACCAUUGUUGGGUCAAAUUUAGCUUUGUUUUUAACCAUCUUUUAAACACAGAGAUUCCAGGUUUAGGAAAGUAUUACCUUUGCAGGCACUUGUUUCCUUUAAAACAAUGGGUCAGGGUAAUUUUUUUACACACAUUUUGCUAUGUUAAUGUUAUAAAUAGCAUUUCAGUACAAAAGAGAUUGUCUUUAUAGCCUUGAAAACAUUUCAUUAGGUUGUUUGCUAUACACAUGCAUAUUACCUUUUAAUACAUGCCAUUUUGCUAAACAAGUGACAUUUAUAACUUGAAACUUUCAUAUCAAUUGCUGCCCUGGGUUUCAAAUAUUAGAACAACUUUCCAGUCCAAACUGGAUGGGAGUGUCCUGGUCUGGGAUCCACAAACAAAUUCAAUUUUUAAAAGGGGUCCUGACAAUGAUUUUUUAUCACACUUUGAUGAUCUUUCUAUGCAUUUAAACAUUUGACAACUUAAAACAAACCAACCAACCAAACAAAGAACCACACAACAAGACAAACAACACAACAUACACAAGACAAUUUUUGCUAUAGUGGUAAAGCCAUGGCUUAAGUGAGGAAGACACUGUUAAUUCUAUUGAUGGUAAGGAGGCCUCAUAGUCUAUCAGUCACCUUUGCUACUGGAUUGAUUACACCAGUGGUCACCAACCAGUCAAUCGUGCCAAUUACCCCCCACAGACUGAGAUGAACUGUCAGAGGUGGAAGUGGAGGCAGCUGCCAUUGCAUGCUAGGCUCUAAGCGCCAAGCCUGGCUGCAGCUGCCCUGGGAGCCACGCGACGCCACGUCCACCGCCGGGCUGGCAGGAGGCACGGCUCAGCCCAGUGGCAGGAUGCAUGUGGUGUCGCACUGCUAGCAGGGCAGCUGCAGUGAGGCUUGGCGUUCAUAGCCCAGUGCGCAAUGGCAGCUUCCUCCACCCUGUGCACAGAUUGAGGAGGGCACAUUCCCCCCAGGCCUCCCCCCAGGUGUGCACAGCAGUGGGAGCACCCCCCCCCCACACACACACCCCUGUCCCACCACCUGGCCUGGGCCCCAAUCACCCCAGCCCUGGUCCCUGACCCCCAACUUCUUCCUUCCUCCACAGACUGACCUGCAAGGUGCGGGGGAGGGCACGCAUGGUAAAUCUUGGGUUGAAAGUUCAUUCAAAAAGUGAUCUUUUGCAUAAAAAGGUUGGAGACCACUGGAUUACACUAUGGUUUCUGCAAAAGAAAAAAACCCACAAACCUGCCAAGAAGUUCACCAUCAGAAGUGACUCAUGGUCACAGAGGGGAAGAAAAUUUUAGAUCCUUGUGGCCGAUGCAAUGGACAGUGGAUGUUAUAUUAAGUGAUCACUCUCUGCUUUGUUCCCAGUGAAAGAUUACGUAUAUAUACAAGUUUACAAUGCUGACACGUGUCACAACCCAAAGUUGUGAUUUUUGUUUGUGUGUGUGCUUUGGCACCGCUAAAUUAUUUCCCGCUAUUUGUCGCUUUCUUUGCACGGUAGAGUUCUCUGCUGUAAGAGAGAACUCUGGUGCAACGGGGGAUUUCCCACCAGAUUACAGCUUCUUUGCAGGGUGCAUUUCUUUUGCAUCAUAGUGAUACACGCUGCAAAGGAGUUCCCGCCAUUUGUAUUCGGAUUCGCGCCAUAUUAUUGGCCAAUUCCUAAUAUAGGCACACGUGGCGGCUAGCGAUUGGCUUGCUAGCCGUACAUAAGGCUUGGGUAUUUUCCGCCCAAGCCGGAGGAGGGAGGACGAGAGAGAUUCUGUGUGAAGAUCUCCAAGCACUGCGGACCCUCGCGGACCCAGCGUGCCUCCCCUAAGCAGGCAAUAGAGGCAAUAGAACCGAACCUACGGAGCUUUCACUUCUCGCCUCUCCCCAUCGCCGAUCGCAAUCCCAGACGUAUCCCUUUCCUGUAACUUCGGACCCGCGGAGCCUAAGUAACUCCGGCGAAACUUUUCAAACCCAACCAAACCGGACCCGCGGAGCCUGAACAACUCUGUGGGAGCAAUCGAUUUGUCGUGUUCCUCUAGCGAGGAUCUAAGCGGGAGCUGUGCCUGGAAACCUGUCCAGCCUACACCAAUACCAUCUUUGGGUGUAAGUAAACAAUCUUUUAAAUCAA